AAAGUAAUAUAAGUAACUACAAAAAAGGGACAAGAAGCCAGAAACUCAAAUUCAUGUAGCGCAGACCUUAAUAUUUUUUUUUUUACAAAAGAUAACAAAAACGUUGAACAAGACAUCACAAAAACAGAUUAAAAACAGCUCGAAAAACAAAUCGCCCAUUGCGUUAUCCGGAGAUAAUACGAGAGGCGAUAACAAUUUGGAACAGGGCGAGAAUCACCUCAUUACUCGGACGACACUCCAAACAUCCACGAGAGCUCCCUGAUAAUAUUAUAUUCAACAUUUAUAUAGCUCAAUUUUCUAGAAUUUACAUAUUUUUUUUAAAUCAUGACAAAAAUAAAGACAGUGUGAAUAUACUUACGAGAAUGCGCCUCAUAUUGGAACCUUAGUCAAUCAAUCUAUCGCCAUCCGUUGCUCAAUGUAUCCACAAGUAAGCGCUUACCAUCCAGGCCUUAAGCAGCCCACAGUCAUCCGCCUUUAAGUUCCUGACAAAGAUUAAUUAUGAUUAAUGAAUAAUAAACUUUUAACGCAAAUAA